rnacentral:rRNA from 1 species
GAUGAACGCUGGCGGCGUGCCUAAUACAUGCAAGUCGAGCGAACAGACGAGGAGCUUGCUCCUCUGACGUUAGCGGCGGACGGGUUAGUAACACGUGGAUAACCUACCUAUAAGACUGUGAUAACUUCGGGAAACCGGAGCUAAUACCGGAUAAUAUAUUGAACCGCAUGGUUCAAUAGUGAAAGACGGUUUUGCUGUCACUUAUAGAUGUAUCCGCGCCGCAUUAGCUAGUUGGUAAGGUAACGGCUUACCAAGGCAACGAUGCGUAGCCGACCUGAGAGGGUUAUCAGCCGCACUGGAACCGGGACAAGGUACAGACUACUAAGGGAGGCAGCAGUAGGGAAUCUUGCGCAAUGGGCGAAAGCCUGAAGGAGGAACGCCGCGUGAGUGAGGAAGGUCUUCGGAUUGUAAAACUCUGUUAUUAGGGAAGAACAAAUGUGUAAGUAACGAUGCACGUCUUGACGGUACCUAAUCAGAAAGCCACGGCUAACUACGUG